CCUUGGGAAGGUGCAUGUUGUUGUGGUCUGGGAUGCUGCCAGGUAGCUCUAGGUCAAGAUCCACUGCAAGAUGCUAUGUGCUUGUAUGGGUACUUUCCUGCUGGACUGAGAGGAUGUUGCUGCCAGACAAGGGGCAGGAAAAGUGGCAACUUGUGCCCAGGUGCUUGGAAAUGCUGAACACACAGGACCAGAGCUGAGAUGGUUCAUGGAGCACAAGCUACGACAGUGGCUCUUGGAGAGCAUGAAGUUGGCUAACACUGACAGUGGGGGGGAAAAAAAUAAUAAAAAAAAUCAUCUUGCCAUUCAGUGCUGUCUGAGGAGCCAGCUAUGCACUCCUGAAUGCCUCUCCAGGCACAAGCACCUCUCAAGCAGGAUGCUUUUCACAAGUCUGCUGCUCACCCUGCAUAAGCCUUCUGAGCAAACUCCCUUGCUGUUAAGUUUAGGACCCUGCUAGGAAAGAAGAAAGAAAUGCAGGAUCACAGAACAGAGCAGGGUGUCACUAAUGAACGUACAAAAGAGUAAAUGCAACCAGAGGAAACAAAAUGCUGGGCCCAGGCAGUGAAGGUUUCCAAAGUCUUUGCUUGAGUAGGAAGCAAGGAAUCUGUUUACAGAGCUAAUGCAGGGAUGAAAGGGAGAAAAUGAAGCUAGAGCUUUUUAUGGUAUGGCUCGAGGAAAAAGGAAGGGAAGCACUGCUGGCAGAAAUAAAACUUGAAACACAAGCAGCUGGUGCUACAGUCAUCAUAGCUGGACAUAAAGCAAAUGGGACUAUGGAGAUGUUUGGAUUUGGGCUUUCUGGCAUCUAUGUAAACAGGGGGUUACUGUCAAUAGCUCUGUCCAUUAGGCUUGACUCUAGCUGCAAUAAGCAAAGAGCAUGAGAAAAUUCUCUGAAAAGCAGAACUGGCUGAGUGGCCAGGGAAGGACAGC